UACGGGGGGAGCAAGCGUUGUUCGGAUUUACUGGGCGUAAAGGGCGCGUAGGCGGCCACCGCAAGUCAGUUGUGAAAUCUCUGGGCUUAACCCAGAACGGUCAGCUGAUACUGCGGGGCUAGAGUGCAGAAGGGGCAGCUGGAAUUCUCGGUGUAGCGGUGAAAUGCGUAGAUAUCGAGAGGAACACCUGCGGCGAAGGCGGGUUGCUGGGCUGACACUGACGCUGACAGCGCGAAAGCUAGGGGAGCGAACGGG
rnacentral:rRNA from 1 species